GUUUACAGGCAUGGUCCUCUUGAAGGUGCACUUUACAGCACUUCCCAGCCACCUGGUCCUUUUGUAGUUGCUUCAUUACUUGUCAUUUAGCACAGGCGUUGGCUGGCACCCUUCUUGGCAGUAUUAAUCUUUGAUGAGUGUUAUAGGCUCAGAUAAACCACAGGACACUUCUAGCAUCUUUUCCAUUUUGUUAGGCAUUUAACAGAAGUCUUUCUCCAGAGCGACUUAUGAUUGAAAACUGAUGAGUUCGCCUGACUAUGGUUUGUUCAAAGAUCAUUUGGUCUGGGCUGACCUUGUAUAAUCUUUAAUUUUCUGGCUGAUUCAUUAUUCCAGUCCACCCACAAUCUAAUGUGUCAUGUGUGGUUAUAUUUAAGAUAGAUACCCAGGUCAUGUCUAAAGCCUGAGGAAAAACACACUUUUAUUUUAUUUAUUUAUUACUUUGUUUUAUUGUUAUAAUUAUUAUUUGCAUGUUAUGCUAGAAAUCCCCAAAAUAAAUUCACACUUUUGAUUUGGCCUUUUCCACUUUCUCCUUAUCUGUUACUCCCACCAUCUGUCUUUCACACAAGAGGCAGUUGAAAAUACUGUGUAAGGAAUCUUAAUGAAAAGCUGUGACUGGACUCAAGUGGCUAAGUCAUGGACUCAAUAGCCUUUAGAUAAAAUAAAAUGAAAUAAAAAUAUAGCCUACUGUAUGUCUGAACAUAAGUUAAAUUGUCCUUUUUCCAUUGACCCACUUUGUGGGUGUGAAUGUUCACAAAUAGCUUCUGUGCUGUGUGAGAUAUAGCUUUUAGAGCCUCAUGCCUUAAAAGGACAUAAACAAUUCUUGAAAUAUUUCAAAAUGACAACUGACCCAUCUGUCUAUGACAUAACGCAAAGUCCCUUACAUUUGCAUGCUGGUUAAAAAUGUGGCUUACAUGAUAUGCCAAGAACCUCAGCUGCUGGGGAAGAAUAUACAUGAAGAAAAACGUGCAAAAAAAAAAAAAGGCUAUACAUUUAUUCCAUAAUGAUGUUGGGGGAAAAAAGGAUAGCACAUGUUGGCAGUGUAUUUAAAUUACAUGUUCACAAUCAUCCACUGCGUCAGAGGAAAAAGUGUCAAAACUGUAUUUUGGCCUGAUUGACGAGUGUAAGUAUUAAAAGGCACAAUAUGUACGAUUUUUUUAUAUUAAAAUAUCCAAAAAACACUUGCACAGUGUUAUAUAAUUAGUUCAGCUGUGUACUUACAUUAUCCUAAAUGUUUCCAAGAAUUAGUAAAUUCAGAGAAAUUCAUCAUUUUAAAUAGUGCUCGUCCCUCCCUUGUCGCCUGUCAAUGAUGUAAUAUCUGCUUUAUCCCUGGUUUCCUUGUACUGCAUAGUAACCAUGGCAACAGACGCAGACAGCUGCGUAAAGUCUAGCGGCACGCUGUUGUUUCGUUCAAACAUUGUAGACCAAACAUUGUGGACCAUGGCAAGCAAACUUUGGGACAAAAGGAUAAAUAAAACAAGGAUCAAUAUCAGCGUGGCGUUUCUGAGAGCUUAAUUGCGACAAACUUUGACUUGACGCCGCUCUUGCACAUUAUUAGACAAGGUGGAUCCUGCAAAGCCUGAUUAUGUGACGUGCAGUUCUGUCUCUAUAUAUCUUCGUAUGAUUUAAGUGUUUCUAUGUCCCACGGUGUUUGUGUGGUUUGUCCUGUGAGGCUCCCCAGUGAAAUGUCAGAUAGAAACCACAGACAGCAGACAGAUUAUCCUCAGGAACUUCAGUUAAUCCACGAAAGUGACGCUGAUUAACAUCAUUGAUGCCACAGAGAUUUCAUUGUCACCCCAUCCAGAGUCACCCUGACACACUAUACAUGCCUUACAAGAGUGUGUAAAUGAAGAUGGAAACUAUCUCAGAAGAAUUAGCCUACCUGACGAUUCAAAGGUUUGGGGUUGGCAUUAUUUUGUAAUGUUUUUGAAAUAAGUCUCUUAUU